UAGGGAAUCUUCGGCAAUGGGGGCAACCCUGACCGAGCAACGCCGCGUGAGUGAAGAAGGUUUUCGGAUCGUAAAGCUCUGUUGUAAGAGAAGAACGUGUGUGAGAGUGGAAAGUUCACACAGUGACGGUAACUUACCAGAAAGGGACGGCUAACUACGUGCCAGCAGCCGCGGUAAUACGUAGGUCCCGAGCGUUGUCCGGAUUUAUUGGGCGUAAAGCGAGCGCAGGCGGUUUAAUAAGUCUGAAGUUAAAGGCAGUGGCUUAACCAUUGUUCGCUUUGGAAACUGUUAAACUUGAGUGCAGAAGGGGAGAGUGGAAUUCCAUGUGUAGCGGUGAAAUGCGUAGAUAUAUGGAGGAACACCGGUGGUGAAGGCGGCUCUCUGGUCUGUAACUGACGCUGAGGCUCGAAAGCGUGGGGAGCAAACAGG
rnacentral:rRNA from 1 species